UACGUAGGGUGCAAGCGUUGUCCGGAAUUAUUGGGCGUAAAGAGCUCGUAGGCGGUUUGUCGCGUCUGCUGUGAAAACUCGGGGCUUAACCCCGGGCCUGCAGUGGGUACGGGCAGACUAGAGGUAGGUAGGGGGAGAAUGAAUUCCCGGUGUAGCGGUGAAAUGCGCAGAUAUCGGGAGGAACACCGGUGGCGAAGGCGGUUCUCUGGGCCUUACCUGACGCUGAGGAGCGAAAGCGUGGGGAG
rnacentral:rRNA from 1 species